AGACGAACCGGACAAACGUUAUUCGGAAUCAUUGGGCUUAAAGGGUGCGUAGGCGGUGCGGAAAGUUGGGUGUGAAAUCCCUCGGCUCAACCGAGGAACUGCGCUCAAAACUUCCGUGCUAGAGUGAGACAGAGGUGAGCGGAACUGAUGGUGGAGCGGUGAAAUGCGUUGAUAUCAUCAGGAACACCGGUGGCGAAGGCGGCUCACUGGGUCUCUUCUGACGCUGAGGCACGAAAGCUAAGGUAGCGAACAGGAUUAGAAACCCGAGUAGUCC
rnacentral:rRNA from 1 species